rnacentral:rRNA from 1 species
AACGAACGCUGGCGGCGCGCCUAAUACAUGCAAGUCGAGCGAGAAGACGUAGCAAUACGUUUGUAAAGCGGCGAACGGGUGAGGAAUACAUGGGUAACCUACCCUCGAGUGGGGAAUAACUAGCCGAAAGGUUAGCUAAUACCGCGUACGCUCCUUGGACUUCGGUUCAGGGAGGAAAGCGAUACCGUGGGUAUCGCGCUCUUGGAUGGGCUCAUGUCCUAUCAGCUUGUUGGGAGGUAACGGCUCACCAA